GCCCCUGUGGUGAAAUGGAUAUCACGCUUGGCUUCGGACCAAGCGUUCCGGGUUCAAAUCCUGGCGGGGGCA
rnacentral:tRNA from 1 species